CCCAGGGUCUUACACAAGCUAGGGUGAACAGUUAAGCUCCUGAAUAGCCCUUGGCCAACAUCCUUCUGCUUUUUCUGAGCCCUCCUGAUGAAUGGCCUGAAUAGAAACUGUCUUCUCCCAGCAGAGGCAGGAAGCUGAUUCGGCUCCCGGAAGACUGGGCAAUGGCUGGCAAAAGCUUACAAGGAAGAAAACAGGCUUGAUGGAUUGCGAAGGGAAGCAGUUGGGUGUGAUGCUACUGAACACAGUUCUAUAGAUUGGAGUUAUUCCACAACACUAUGGAUGCUCUCUGAGUUCAUGAGUCAUGGUGACGAAGGCAUAGACUUUUGUGGAAUGGCAUCAUUUGUGAAAACUCUUUCUUCACUUUUGUGAGACAAGGUCUCUCUGUGUAAUCCUGGUUGUUCUGGAACUCACUCAGUAGCCCAAGCUGGCCUCAAAUUCACAGACUUUCUCCUGCCUCCACCUAUGGAGUGCUGGGAUUAAACAUGUGUGCCACUACUGCCCAACUAAUGAUAGUGAUUAUUAAAGCCAGGAAACUUAGAAGGAGGAGGAAUAGGAGGAAGAAGAACAAGAGGGGGGGAGGGAGGAAUGGAUUAAGGAAAGAAGGAAGGAAGGAAGGAAGGAAGGAAGGAAGGAAGGAAGGAAGGAAGGAAGGAAGGAAGGAAGGGUGAUGGUUGAGACCUUUCUGAAUAAGUCAAGGAAAAAACAUGGCCACCUAUACCUGAGAUCAUCCUCUCUCACUCAUUCCCUGUUCUGCUCCGCACAUCUAUGGCAGAGUCCCAGGGCACCCUGGGUGGUUCCCAGGCUUCUGGAAAAGUGUCCCUCCCUAGCAUGAAUAGAUAACAGCCUCAAGACUUGAAAAUUCCUGGAAGAUCUUCAGUGGUCACACCACAGUCUCUUUGUCACCAACCUCCCAGACUUGUCCAUAUCCAUGUGCACACUUGUGGGGGACGUGACUAGAUCUAAGGUGAUCUGCAGUCCUCUACUACUUUUGAUGUUGAGGACUGAGCUAAGGAAAUAUUUCCCAUUUCUUCUUUAGUAGAAUCUAAGGAAAUACUUUAGAUAUUUCUCCAAAUUAUCUUCCAUGGAACUUUUGUAAAGAAUUCUUUAUCGACUGGGAAGGAGAUUUAUGCUGGGGACCUGCUCCAGCUGGGGCUGAAGUGGGACACAGCAUUGGAUGAAGGUCAAAGACUGAUGACCCUUGGCCUUAUAAUAAUAUUUCAAUUUGUGCUUUAACAAUG